CAGUAGCCGCGGUAAUACGUAGGUCCCGAGCGUUGUCCGGAUUUAUUGGGCGUAAAGCGAGCGCAGGCGGUUAGAUAAGUCUGAAGUUAAAGGCUGUGGCUUAACCAUAGUACGCUUUGGAAACUGUUUAACUUGAGUGCAGAAGGGGAGAGUGGAAUUCCAUGUGUAGCGGUGAGAUGCGUAGAUAUAUGGAGGAACACCGGUGGCGAAAGCGGCUCUCUGGUCUGUAACUGACGCUGAGGCUCGAAAGCGUGGGGAGCAAACAGGAUUAGAUACCCCAGUAGUCCCUGUCUCUUAUACA
rnacentral:rRNA from 1 species